GGAGGGGUCGCAUAGUCUGGUCUAGUGCCGCACACUGCUAAUGUGCUAAGGGAGUAAUAUCCCUUCGUGGGUUCGAAUCCCACCCCCUCCG
rnacentral:tRNA from 1 species